rnacentral:rRNA from 1 species
UACGUAGGGCGCAAGCGUUAUCCGGAAUUAUUGGGCGUAAAGAGCUCGUAGGCGGUUUGUCGCGUCUGCCGUGAAAGUCCGGGGCUCAACUGCGGGUCUGCAGUCGAUACGGGCAGGCUAGAGUUCGGUAGGGGAGACUGGAAUUCCUGGUGUAGCGGUGAAAUGCGCAGAUAUUAGGAGGAACACCGGUGGCGAAGGCGGUUCUCUGGGAAUAUCCUGACGCUGAGGAGCGAAAGUGUGGGGAGCGAACAGG